UACGGAGGAUGCGAGCGUUAUCCGGAUUUAUUGGGUUUAAAGGGUGCGCAGGCGGCACGGCAAGCCGGCGGUCAAAUCGCGGGGCUCAACCCCGCCCAGCCGUCGGAACUGCCGGGCUAGAGUGGGCGAGAAGUGCGCGGAAUGCGUGGUGUAGCGGUGAAAUGCAUAGAUAUCACGCAGAACUCCGAUUGCGAAGGCAGCUCACUAGACUGCAACUGACACUGAUGCUCGAAAGUGUGGGUAUCAAACAGG
rnacentral:rRNA from 1 species